rnacentral:rRNA from 1 species
AACGAACGCUGGCGGCAUGCCUAACACAUGCAAGUCGAACGAGACCUUCGGGUCUAGUGGCGCACGGGUGCGUAACGCGUGGGAACCUGCCCUUAGGUUCGGAAUAACUCCCCGAAAGGGGUGCUAAUACCGGAUAAUGUCUUCGGACCAAAGAUUUAUCGCCUUUGGAUGGGCCCGCGUUGGAUUAGCUAGUUGGUAGGGUAAAAGCCUACCAAGGCGACGACCCAUAGCUGGUCUGAGAGGAUGAUCAGCCACACUGGGACUGAGACACGGCCCAGACUCCUACGGGAGGCAGCAGUGGGGAAUAUUGGACACUGGACGAAAGCCUGAUCCAGCAAUGCCGCGUGAGUGAUGAAGGCGUUAGGGUUGUAAAGCUCUUUUACCCGAGAUGAUAAUGACGGUACCGGGAGAAUAAGCUCCGGCUAACUCCGUG